UUUUUUGGCUUCUUUCUCUCAUAUUAUCACAAAAGUCCAAACCAAACCCAUCCUUGUUGUUCUCAAAUAGCUUCUCCCUCCAAAUUAAUGUACACCUCUUUAAGCACAAAGUACAACCAUCUAAAGCACACCUACCUCUUCCAAAGCUCAAUAUUUCUUCAACAAAAAACAUGGCUUUCCAAUCAAGACUCAAGACUCUAUAUCUUCUUCAAGACUUAAACCAAUAAAGCUGACCCCCCCCCCACCCCCAAACCCCACAAGCUAAGGUACACCUCUUUAACCAGAAGGUACAACCAUCUAAAGCACAAUUUCCCUGUUCAACCACCAUUCAUGGCUUUCAAUUCAAGAUUCCAUUUGGGGUUGCUUAUUUUCUUCAUAUUAACCCCUUUUACUAUCUCUUUCAUUCUCAGCCCAUCACCACAGCCAGAACCAAAACCCACAAUCUAUGAUAUCCUCACAGUAUAUGGGCUGCCAGGUGGCAUCUUUCCAGACACUGUGGAAUCCUAUAAUCUUGAUAAAGAUGGAAACUUUGAAGUAUUUCUGAAAGCCCCUUGUUAUGUAGAGUUUGAAUAUUUAGUUUAUUAUGCUGAAAAGAUUAGUGGGAAACUAGGUAUUGGGUCCAUUACUGAGUUAGAAGGGAUUGAAGUGAAAAGAUUCUUGUUUUGGUUUAAUGUUAAAGAAAUUAGAGUUGAUUUGCCACUUUCUGAUAGUGUUUACUUUCAGAUUGGUUUUGUUAACAAGAAGCUUGAUAUUCAUCAGUUUGAGACUAUUCAUUCUUGUAUGAAGAGUGGAUCUUUGAGACAAGUUCUACAGCUUCCAGCUCCUAUCAAUGAUAUGCAAAUGCUUAUUACUGAGUAAAUGGGAAACAAUAUUCAACUCAAGGAGAAAGUAGCAAUGGGAAAAAUGUACUAUUUUUGAAUUGAAGGAAAAUCAAGACUGGUUAUGAUGAAGAUUAAACAUUCCACAUGUGUAUCGUUUAUAAAGACGAUCUUUGUAGGAUCAUUUUCUUCUAUUCAAAUUGUGAAAGACUGACUAUAUAUAUUUAGUCAUUUCCUCGAUGUUUGAUUACUUGUUAGUUAAUGUAUAUUCCUCUCUUACACCAUCCCUUCCCAUCCGAGUCUGUUUCAGUAUUUUUGAUACGAAAUAUAAUCAAUAUGUGAAAAGGUAGUAUUAGAAGCA